AACGAACGCUGGCGGCAUGCCUAACACAUGCAAGUCGAACGAGACCUUCGGGUCUAGUGGCGCACGGGUGCGUAACGCGUGGGAACCUGCCCUUAGGUUCGGAAUAACUCCCCGAAAGGGGUGCUAAUACCGGAUAAUGUCUUCGGACCAAAGAUUUAUCGCCUUUGGAGGGGCCCGCGUUGGAUUAGCUAGUUGGUAGGGUAAAAGCCUACCAAGGCGACGAUCCAUAGCUGGUCUGAGAGGAUGAUCAGCCACACUGGGACUGAGACACGGCCCAGACUCCUACGGGAGGCAGCAGUGGGGAAUAUUGGACAAUGGGCGAAAGCCUGAUCCAGCAAUGCCGCGUGAGUGAUGAAGGCCUUAGGGUUGUAAAGCUCUUUUAGCCGGGAUGAUAAUGACAGUACCGGGAGAAUAAGCUCCGGCUAACUCCGUG
rnacentral:rRNA from 1 species